rnacentral:rRNA from 1 species
GCGGCGGACGGGUGAGUAACACGUGGAUAACCUACCUAUAAGACUGGGAUAACUUCGGGAAACCGGAGCUAAUACCGGAUAAUAUUUUGAACCGCAUGGUUCAAAAGUGAAAGACGGUCUUGCUGUCACUUAUAGAUGGAUCCGCGCUGCAUUAGCUAGUUGGUAAGGUAACGGCUUACCAAGGCAACGAUGCAUAGCCGACCUGAGAGGGUGAUCGGCCACACUGGAACUGAGACACGGUCCAGACUCCUACGGGAGGCAGCAGUAGGGAAUCUUCCGCAAUGGGCGCAAGCCUGACGGAGCAACGCCGCGUGAGUGAUGAAGGUCUUCGGAUCGUAAAACUCUGUUAUUAGGGAAGAACAUAUGUGUAAGUAACUGUGCACAUCUUGACGGUACCUAAUCAGAAAGCCACGGCUAACUACGUGCCAGCAGCCGCGGUAAUACGUAGGUGGCAAGCGUUAUCCGGAAUUAUUGGGCGUAAAGCGCGCGUAGGCGGUUUUUUAAGUCUGAUGUGAAAGCCCACGGCUCAACCGUGGAGGGUCAUUGGAAACUGGAAAACUUGAGUGCAGAAGAGGAAAGUGGAAUUCCAUGUGUAGCGGUGAAAUGCGCAGAGAUAUGGAGGAACACCAGUGGCGAAGGCGACUUUCUGGUCUGUAACUGACGCUGAUGUGCGAGAGCGUGGGGAUCAAACAGGAUUAGAUACCCUGGUAGUCCACGCCGUAUAACGAUGAGUGCUAAGUGUUAGGGGUUUCCGCCCCUUAGUGCUGCAGCUAACG